UACGUAGGGUGCAAGCGUUAAUCGGAAUUACUGGGCGUAAAGCGUGCGCAGGCGGUCUUGUAAGACAGGCGUGAAAUCCCCGGGCUCAACCUGGGAAUUGCGCUUGUGACUGCAAGGCUGGAGUGCGGCAGAGGGGGAUGGAAUUCCGCGUGUAGCAGUGAAAUGCGUAGAUAUGCGGAGGAACACCGAUGGCGAAGGCAAUCCCCUGGGCCUGCACUGACGCUCAUGCACGAAAGCGUGGGGAGCAAACAGG
rnacentral:rRNA from 1 species